rnacentral:sRNA from 2 species
CAUUAGCCCAGAAAGGAAUGAAAAUCCUUUGCUGCAAAAGCCUACUUUUUUCUUGUUCCAAAAGAGCGACCAACGGAAGCUCCUUUUGGAGCUUAGAAAAAGAGGUUUUUGCAGUAAAGAUUGUAAUGGAUUGCUGGAAUAGCU